GUCCCCCACCCUCUCAUUCACACACCAGUCGCCUCCUCUCUUUGGUUCUCUUCUCUCUCUCACUUGGGAGAUCUAUUGCCUCCCCUCCAGGCUCCAUUUCUGCCGCCCGCCGAGAUUGAUCGUCGGCGAUGACUGGGAAAGGCUGAUACCACUAUUGUCGCCCUCUUUUCCCUCUUUAUUAUCACUAUUUUGUCGGAGUCGCACCACCGGUGACGACGACUAAUCCAUGUCAUUGUUCUUCACCUCUCUCUCUCUCUCUUCUGCUUUAGAUCUCACACCCCUGUUGGCCGGAAAAUGGUUUCCUUUAUUAAGCUUGCCGGCAGAUCUGGAAUGGUCCAAGUUUUGGAGAAGCUUUACCGAAAAACUCCAGAUCCGACGAGCCUCGUUCGCGCUUAGCUUGUUUCUUGAGUCUCAUCGGCUCCCCUAUUUUCGAUGACCUCACCGGACCUCGCGUCUGGUUUGUGCAGUCACUGCUACUGUUACUUUUGAGAGAACAUUAUUGUCACUUCUUGGAGGCCAUUUCUUGGCCACUGAUCUGGGUGUUGUUCAAUUUUCCGAUGAUCUCUCUUGCUCGUUUUCCUUUACAGAUUUAUGUCUUUAUUUGAUUAAUUAUUUGUUGAUAUUUGAUUCAUUUUCUUUGGGUUGUUACUGUUCUGUGGGACUUUUUUUUGGGUGUGAUUUACGCGAUGGCUGCAAAGACUCGCCGGAAAAUUAUUUUCGGCGUUGAUGGUGUUUCUUGCGCGAUGGCUGCCUCGUUGAAGACUUGUUAACACAUUUUGUGUUUAUGAAUCUGUGUUGGUUACUAAAAUUAGGUUGUGGGGCCUACGAAAAGAUGUAAAUGUUUUAGGCCUUGUGAUAAUUUUUGACUGAUAAAGAACAAGAUAUUACACCGUCCCUCAGAUCCGGAACAAAAUAUAUUUAUGAGACGAUGACGAAAGCCAAAGAAAAAUAAAAGACAAGAAUGUGAAUAUCCAUGCUUUGGAAGGCAACAAGGUUGGUCACUGGAGUUGCAACCAAGUUAAUAUUCACAUUCUAAUGUCUUAUUGCUAUACGUCAUAUGCCAUCCGAAUCAUUUUCUAAAAUAAUUUCCAAAAAAUAUUUUUUUUAAAAUCAUUUUCUAAAGCAAUUUCCAAACAUAUUUCAAAUCAUUUUCAAAGAGAAACAAUCUUUUAUAAAAGUAUUUUCAAAGAAAAACCAUUUAAAAAUUAAUAAUAUUUAAUUUAUUUUACUUUAUAUUAUCUUACUAACAAUUUUGCUUCUUUUUUGCGAGUUACAAUCACAUGAAGUCGCAUUCGAAAGAUGAUGCUCAUAUUGACUUGAUAUCCCCGUCGAAACCCCGCUCCGUCACUUUCCAUUCUCAAAUGCACAAAAAUACAAGUAUAAUGAAAUAUUAGUUAUAUAUUGCAUGCUACUUAUUUCCUUGCUUGAUAUGUUUAGUUGCACAAAUUAUGUUAGAAUAAUGUACUUAGUCAAUCACUUGAUCCAUUACUAGUUAAUCAUAAUGUUCUCAAUACUUGGGCCUUAGACAUAUUCAUACAAUUGGUUUGGUUAACUUGAUUCAUAUUCACUUAGUUAAUCCAACUAAUUUGCUUAACUCGAGUAAAUUGAGCUAGUGAAUAAUUUAAUUGUGUUUAGUAUAAAUCUUAGUAGAUUUAAUUAUUAUGAGAUUCUCUCCACUCUUAGCAUAUCUUAUAAUAAUACACUUGAAUGAAUAAUUUCUUUAGCUAACAAUAUGUAUUAAAGUAAUAGUCUUAGGUGAAGUUUUAAUCAUAGGAGCAAUUUAUUUAUUUCUACACAUAUUCUUUCACUGAAAAUAGCUCUUUUUACGUAUAUCCUUGACAAAUCUCCCUAGACUUCAUUUUAUUCAACUAACUCUUUAGAAUGAAAAUUUGGUAAUUCUAUUGUCACAUGUAAGAUUUAUGUAAAUAAUUCUUUUCCAUUGCUCCCCUAUUUGUGAUAAAUUUUUCUACUUUACUUGAUUAUUCCUUUUAAUUUAAUUGAUGACUAUUUAUAUUCAAAGAUAAUUCGUUACCUAUCAUUAUAUGUAUUCAACUAGGAUUAAUCAAAUAUAGUUAAAUCACUUAGCUUCAAAUUACAAGUCAAGGUUUUUCCUUAUACUUUCUUUCGAAUCCAUUUCUUCCAAUCAAACUCCAAAAAGAAUUUUGUUUAUUAAUUUGCUUUGUGUAUUUUAUUAUACAUAUCUUGCCAUAAAUGAAAUAGUUGUUCUUCAAAUAUUCAUUCACUACGUUGGCUACUCUUUGGUAGGAAUUCUUUGUGAGGUAGUUGGUCAUUUGAGAGGCUUAGGCCUUAUAGUCAACUUGGCCCAAAAGUGGUGUUUCAAGACCGUGGCUCUAAAGAUGGUCUCUAGCUGCUUAUUGAAUGAUCAUUUUUUCGUAAUACAAAUACUUCCUUAUUAUAUUGGUAUGGUAAUUUUCUUAUGUCAUAAAUAUUUUGAUGCAUUCUCUUAUAUCAUAUUCAUUCAUCAAAUCAAUUCUUUAUUCAUUAAAUCAAUUCUUUCACUUUACUCAUUAUGCACUAAGAUUAUCCGAGGAUGACUCUUCCUCUAUUCUUGAAUCAAAUUCCUUGCUAAUUAUUUAUCCAUAUGCAAAUAAAUAUUCUUUCCUCCUUUUUCUGAGAUCCUUUAGUAUAAAUUUUCUCUUGUUGUAGUUAUCCAUCUAAGACUCUUAACUCUAAUUAUGAAUCGUUUUCUCUUUAAGUUUAUUCUUAUAAGUUCAAACUUUUAUUCAAACAAUCCGAGUUAACAUACACUCUUUAGGUUCAAUUCUUUUUAUAUUGUUCAAUCUACACUAAAAAUACUAUCCUUGAAUAUAUUUUUAAUUUUUUUGUACACUACAUAUUAUUACAUAUAUAUUUUGUCAAAUAUUUUACUAUUCUUUAUCUAGAACUCAGUUUACACUCAGAUCAUCUUCUGGAAUAUGAUUCCCUUGUCCACUUUACAUAGGGAUGUUAAAGGUUAUUUAAAAACCGAUUGAACCGACCGAACCGAACCGCACCAAACUGAUUUUUAGGUUUUUUUAAUAAAAUCGUAGGUUCUUUUAUAUAUUUAUCACCGCAUUGAAAAAUUAGGGUAGAUUUUUAAUUUUAUUUAAGGAAUCAAAAAAAUAACCGAGCCGAACCAAACCGACUAUAUAUAUUUUAUACGACCAAAAUCGAGUUCGCCUGGGACAUGGUAUAUCAGGCUCGAAACGUGGCAACAAAGGGCUGAAGAUCGACCCCAAGUCCCAUCGGGUUAGAACCUAGGGGCUGAACGCCUACCUUCGAAGAAUAUCGAAACCGUGAUCCCGGAAUCGGUCCUAGCCUCGAACGAGUUUGAAGAAAUAUUGUUAGCAUAGCCAACAGAAGGCCGAAAUAUCCGUGACCGACCGGAUAUUACGGCGGCAAUCACGACACGUAUCGAUAAGGGAUCAUUAAUCAGUAAAUCAAGAGAUUUAUUUACCAUUUAUUAUACCUAAAGUAGGACUCCUCUACUAUAUAAAGGAGGUCUGAUAAUUCAUAAAACACAUUGUAACACGCACUAAAAAGUAAUAUAUUAUUAUUUUUCUCUUUAAGCUCUUAUUCAUCUGUAUCUUGAGACCGAUCGAAGUACAUCCGGUUCGAGGGUGACUGGUCUUCCAAGACUGAAAUUGUCCAAUUCGUGUAGUUUGAAUUUCCUUUAUCGUUAUUUAUUUCAAUUGCAACUCAAUUUAUCAUUUUGUAUCAGUUAAUCCGUAUAUCCUUAAAACCACUUACAAAUUCAAUUGUUAUCCGAUUUUGAGGGUAAACAGUUUGGCGCCCAACGUGGGGCUAAGGAUAAUAGUGGUUAUUUAAUAUAAAUUUCCAUAACACAAACUACUUUACACUUGUUCUUUGAAGUGUCUCUAUAUAUUCAGGUUAAAGCUCAAAAUGUCAAACUCUCAGUCGGCACCCUUACAUGUUGAUAAUGAGUCCGGCCAUCACGGUGAAAAUAAUAACGUACUGCCCACUAGUCAUGAGCAUCUACUACAAUUUGUUUGAUAAUAUCGAGACUAACAUAGUCUGAAAAAUAGUUAAAUACAACUAAAGAAAGAUAAGAGGGAGAAGAGCAGGGCUGCGAUCGCCAGGCAGCUACCUUGCUAUCCCAGAGAAAAUCUGCAACCGAAAUAGUCAACAAUUGCUACCGCGUCCAGAUACACCUGGAUCUGCACACAAGGUGCAGGGAGUAACGUGAGCACGCCAACUCAGUAAGUAACAACAGUAAAUAAAGACUAAGAAGUAGUUACGAGCAAUAAUGCAAGUAAAUUUCAUAUCACAAAUAAAUUCAGUAAAAUACAACAUGAUUUUAAAACCAGGGUUUAAUCAAAUCAACUCUUUUAAAUCCAGUUCUAGUAAAAUCAUUUAAAGACAUCUUUUAACAAUUUUCACUCGUAUACAGCCUCUCGGGCAGACCUCACCAUCACUCAUGCCUCCCAGUCACUCGGCACUCGCACUCAGUAGGUACUUGUGCUCACUGGGAUAUGUAUAGACUCCAGAGGGGCUCCUUCAGCACAAGCGUUAUAUCAAGCCAAUCAUGGAAUAAAUCAAUAAGCCCUUCGGCCUAUAUCAAACAUGCUGCGGUGUGCAGUCCGAUCCCAUAAAUAUCCUCACAAAUCAGGCCCUCGACCUCACUCAGUCAUAAACCUCUCCAGCCUCUCGGGCUCUCAGAAAAUAAAGUAUUCAACCCAAACAACAUUUAUAUGAUGCAUCAAAAUAGAGUAAUAGAGACUGAGUUAUGCUGUAAAUAUAUAUAAACAUGACUGAGUAUAAAUUUUUAAUCAAAAACAAUGAGAGGAUAGCAAGAAAAGACAUCUAAGGGUCCAAACAACACAGGCAUAAGGCCUAAACAUGGCAUCCAGCCUGACUUGCAGAAAUGCUUUCUAAAACACAUAAGCCAUUCCCCAGGGGCCGAUGCGGAAGCGCACCAAAGUGUCCAUCACAAGGGAGAAACGGACUCCGGAUUACAUGCCGGAAGGAACCUUGUCUUUCAAUGACGAAGACGCCAAGGGGAUAGUGCAGCCCCACAAUGAUGCACUGGUAAUAUCGAUACUCAUAAAUAAAUCUCGAAUUAAGCGUAUGUUAAUUGAUCCAGGUAGCUCAACCAACAUCAUCAGAUCGAGGGUCGUGGAACAACUCGGCCUACAAGAUCAUAUCGUACCUGCGGUCCAAAUCCUGCACGAGUUCAACAUGGCAUGCGAGACCACUAAAUGGGAGAUAACAUUACCGGUGAACGUCACCGGAACCGUACAGGAAGCUAAGUUCUAUGUAAUCGAAGGGGAUAUGAGAUACAACGCUUUGUUCGGGAGGCCAUGGAUUUCACAACAUGAGAGCAAUACCCUCGACACUACACCAGGUGUUUUAAUUCCCAACACUGGGAGGAAUCAAAAUAAUCUAUGGGGAACAACCGGCCGCCAAGGAGAUGUUCGUAGUUGGUAAGGUGAUCCCGGCAUCCAUAUUCUCGACAUCGAAGAAUCUAAAUCGGAUGGUCAAAGACGGGGCCAAAUAGCAAUCAUCGAUACCAGGCACGAUAGAAUCGGAGGAAUGAGGGGUAGACGAGGACGACGAAUAUGGAGUCCCCAGAUCUUUCAUAGCCCCCGACGAUUUCAAUGCUACAAAAUCAAUGGUCGAGGAACUGGAGAAAGUAGUACUAAUUCAACACUUUCCCGAUCGAAAGGUAUACUUGGCACGGGGUUAAACCCCGAGCUCAGAAAAAACUCAUUCAAUUUCUUAUAGCUAACGAAGAUUGUCUUGCUUGGUCCCAUCUUGAUAUGGAAGGGAUCCAGCUGGAAAUAACCACUCACAACCUUAGCCUGGACCCGAAGUUCCACCCAGUCAAAUAGAAGAGGAGACCCCAGUCCGAGGUCAAACAUGCUUUCAUCAAGGAUGAGGUAUCUAAACUCCUUAAAAUCGGGUCCAUUUGGGAGGUAAAAUACCCGGAUUAGUUAGCGAACGUAGUGAUAGUCCCUAAAAAAGGGAAAAAAAUUAAAAAUGUGUGUAGACUAUAAGGAUUUGAAUAAGGCAUGUCCCAAAGACUCCUUCCCUUUGCUCAACAUCAAUUUCAUGAUCGAUGCCACGGCCGGCAACGAGAUUCUCAAUUUUCUCGACGCCUACUCUAGGUAAAUCCAAAUACGUAUGAACCGGGGCGAUCAGGAAAAAACCUCCUUCAUCACUAAGUAUGGCAAUUAUUGCUAUAACGUGAUGCCAUUUGGAUUAAAAAAUGCUGGUGUCACUUACCAAUGCCUAGUAAACCGGAUGUUCGAGGAACAAAUAGGAAAAUCAGUGGAGGUUUACAUUGACGAUAUUUUGGUUACAUCCCUGCGAGAAGAGGACCAUUUGAAAUAUUUGCAGGAAACCUUCAGGAUAUUGAAGAAGUACAAUAUGAAGCUGAACUCGGAGAAAUGUGCAUUUGGAGUUGGAUUCAGUUAAUUCCACUGAUUCAUGGUGUCCAACCGGGGAAUCGAGAUCAAUCCCGACAAGAUCAAAGCCAUCGAAUAUAUCACGGUUGUGGACAACGUGAAGGCCGUGCAAAGAUUAACCGGACGCAUAGCCACCCUGAGACGAUUCAUCUUGAGGUCCUCUGACAAGAGCCACCGAUUCUUCUCACUAUUGAAGAAGAAGAAUAACCUUUCAUGGACACCGGAACGCCAACGGUCCUUGGAGGAACUCAAGCGGUAUUUAUCAAGCCCACCUCUGCUUCAUACUCCGAAGACGGACGAGCAACUAUACCUGUACUUAGCAGUAUCAGAAGUAGCGUUAAGUGGAGUCCUGGUCCGGGAAGAGAAAGGUACGUAAUUUCCAAUUUACUAUGUUAGCAGGACUUUAGGUGAGGCCGAAACUAGAUACCCUCUCCUGGAGAAAUUGGCGCUCGCUUUGCUAUGCGCCUCUAGAAAGCUGAAACCGUACUUUCAAUGUCACCCCAUAUGUGGUGUGACUACUUACCCAUUUAGGAAUAUAAUUCAUAAGCCCGAGCUCUCGUGACGGUUGGCCAAAUGGGCUGUGGAAAUCAGUGGGUACGAUAUUGAAUAUUGGCCCUAGACCGCCAUUAAAUCUCAAAUUUUGGCAGACUUUCUGGCCGAGUUUACGUCGUCCUUAAUACCCGAGGUCGAAAGAGAGUUAUUGUUGAACUCGGGGACUUCUUUGGGGAUCUGGACCCUCUUUACGGACGUCAUCGCAAAUGCAAAAGGGUCCGAAUUUGGCAUCGUAUUGAAGCCACCGACAUGCAAUGUAGUUAGACAAUCUAUUAGGACUAUAAAAUUGACUAACAAUGAGGCAGAAUAUGAGGCCAUGAUUGCAGGUCUCGAACUAGCCAAAAGCUUGGGGGCGGAGGUGAUCGAAGCUAAGUGCAACUCCCUCCUUGUGGUGAACCAAGUUAAUGAGACGCUCGAGGUCAGAGAAGAACAAAUGAAAAGGUACUUGGAUAAGUUGCAGGUAACAUUAACAUAGAUUCAAGGAGUGGACUCUAUAACACGUGCUUCGGGAUCAAAAAACUGAAGCUGAUGCCCUUGCUAACCUGGGAUCGUCGGUCGAGGACGAUGAGUUCAACUCGAGGGCGGUCGUACAACUCAUGAGAUCGGUAGUAGAGGAAGGCCACGCUGAAAUAAACUCAAUGAUCCUGACUUGGGACUGGAAAAACAAAUAUAUAGAAUAUCUGAAGACCAUAAAACUGCCCUCAGAUCCAAAAGAAUCAAGGGCCUAGCAUACGAAGGCAGCCCGAUUCAGCUUGUCCGAAGAUGGAACCCUGUUUAGAAGAACAUUUGAUGGCCCACUCACGAUAUGUCUAGGAGUAGGAGAUACCGAGUACGUUUGGAGGAAAAUUCAUGAAGGCACCUGCGGAAAUUUUUCAGGCGCCAAAUCAUUGGUUCAGAAGAUAAUUAGAGUCGGCUAUUACUGGAUCGACAUGGAAAAGGAUGCGAAGGAGUUCGUAUGAAAAUUUGAUGAAUGUAAAAGACAUGCUCCGAUGAUUCAUCAACCCGAGGAGCUGCUUCAUUCGAUUUUGUCACCAUGGCCGUUCAUGAAAUGAGGAAUGGACAUCGUUGCCCUUUUCAUGGGCACCCGAUAAGGCUCAAUUUAUAUUGUUUAUGACUGACUAUUUUUCUAAGUGGGUGGAAGCCCAGGCAUAUGAGAAAGUCAGAGAGAAAGAAGUCAUCGAUUUCAUUUGAGACCACAUCAUAUGUCGGUUCGGAAUGCCGGCCGAGAUCUUGUGCGACAACGGGAAACAAUUCAUCGACAGCAAAGUAAGCAAGUUUCUCGAAGACCAUAAGAUCAAAAGGAUCCUAUCAACGCCCUACCACCCUAGUGGGAACAGACAAGCAGAAUCGACCAACAAAACCAUACUCCAAAACCUCAAAAAUAGGUUAACCGACGCCAAAGAAAAAUGGAAGGAAAUCCUGCCCGAAGUCCUAUGGGCAUACUGCACGACCUCGAAGUCUAGUACCGGGGCCACCCCAUUCUCGCUGGUUUACGGUGUCGAAACUCUAAUACCGGUCAAAGUUGGAGCUAUUAGAUAAAAGGCGCAAAGCCUCCCUUGUCCGAUUGGCCGCCCAAAAACAGCAGAUCGAGAGGUAUUACAAACGAAGGGCCAACCUUCGACACUUCAAUGUUGGGGACUUAAUGUUAAGGAAGGUCACGCUAAGCACCCGGAACCCAAACGAAGGGAAACUGAGGCCGAAUUGGGAAGGGCCAUAUCAAAUUAUCGAGAUCACUGGAAAAUGAUCGUACAAACUCAGAGCAAUGAACAGUGAACGACUACCGAACAACUGGAAUGUAACUUACUUAAAGCGAUACUACUGCUAAGGUACGACCCCGUUCAUUCCUUUUACUUAUUUGCAUUUCGAACUAGCACUUGCAGGCAACCGUCAAAGAACGAUACAAUUCUUAGGCCUGAAAGCACGCAUUGCACUCUUUUUCCCUUGGACCGGUUUUGUCCCAAAUGAGUUUUCCGGCAAGGUUUUUAAUGAGGCAAUAGUAAAUCGUGCUAACUUAGAAUUGAGGGUGGGUUACAAACCAGUGUUGAAGAACACAACAACAGUAUUCGAGGCUUCUCUAUUAUUGUCCUCGAACUCUGGGGGGCAUCACCCUCGGACAAUGGCCUUAGCAAGGAAAGAAACUUUGUGACUGAAUAGUCUCGACUCGAUUGAUAGGAUUUACUGUAAGGGCCAAACGGUCAAAUGAACCAUGCCCACAUAGACUACUCGAGCCCUGACAUAAAGCAUGUACACAUGUGUAACCAUAUAUAUUACACAUAGAAAUAAAAAAGUCUCUACCUUGCGGAUAAAAAUCUUGUCCCUUAAAAUUUUUUUUUAUUUCUUCUCUCUUAAAGAAUUUCCUACAUUCAAUCCUCCAAAGGUAUCGAGCCCAAUGAUCGCCUUUAUUCUGGUUCAAAUGAUCGCUCUCACUAAGGGACUGCCUUCCAAAGACAAAUUUGGAAGGCCCGGGCUAUCAGAGCCCGUGGGCACAAGACCUAUUAGGCAGCACCCAAACUUUAAAGGCUACGGCCAUCCCCACUCGGGAAAUAUUAUUUUAGCCAAGCUUGGAUAACUCGGGGCAAAAAGCUCACUGGGCAACACCCAAACUAAAAAGGCUACGGCCAUACUAAAAUGGCUCGGAGACCUCCAGGAUGCCUUAAAAUUUUCUAAAUCUAUUCUAAAGGCUACUCUCGGCAAACUAUAAUCUAAAAUAUUAUAAGUACUUUGGAGAAUCGUUUCUGAUCAUACCGAACCCCCACGAUGCCUUAAAUAAAAUAGUGUCGAAGGCAAGGCCUGUUCGAACCUUCGAACAUAACCUAACUACUUCAUGCUAAGGUAUUUCGAUCUUUACAAACAUAAAGAAUAAAGCAACGGAAAACGAACUCAGAAAUUUUCGAAGGUAAAAAAGAAGCUUUGUAUUAUAUAUACGUAAAGUCUUUACAAAGGCCAAACGAUCGUGACAAAAAGUACAAAAGUACAAAAAUACAAAAAAUAAAGGAAAAUAUACAAGGCACUAAAACGGCAUGUUCUUCCCCGGAACCCGCCUCAUCGCGAGGGUCUUAGGAGUCUCCUCCACCCUCGGAUCCGUUUGAACCCUCAGAGUCUUAUUCAUCCUCGGGAUAUGCCAACUUCUUGGCCUCGGUUUCGAGCCCCUUAGCACUCUCAAUUUCAGCCGAUAAGUUGAAACCUCGAGCAUGAAUUUCCUCGAGGGUCUCCCUUCAGGAUUGCCGCUUCGCGUAAUCGACGAUAUCAUUCAGUUUAUCCUGGGCCGCCUCGGUAUCGGCGUUAUAUUGGGCCACUAUCUCGUCGGCAUCAGCUUUGACCACCACUACCACCGACUUGGCCGUUUCGAGCUCCUUGGCGAGAGUUUCUCGAUCAGAGACUGUCAUGCCCCGAGCUUGGGGGUGAGACCGGCACCCGGUGCCUCAUCUAUCCUUGAUACCAACUUGCGACUUAUGAAUUCUGGACAUAUAAUGUCAUACUUUGGCCAGGGACUACAUUACAAGAUAAUUUGCAAAGCAAAAUAUAAAACUGAAUAGAGACUAACGCUGACUAAAUAUCAACAUAAAGCUAGGCUGGCAAGGCCAUCAUAAUUACUAAAACUAACAAGCCAACAAAAUAUACGUACAGGGCCUAUAAGCCCAACAUACUGCACUAACUGACAGGAUAUGUCUACAAGCCUCUACUGAUAGAUGUACUGUGAUCGGAACAGGGCCCCAACCUACCCAUAACCUAUCUACAUAUAUACACAAGAUGUACACAAAACCUCUAGACCUGGCAACUCCGAAGGAUGGGGAGCCUACCGAUAAAGCUGAACUCGGGCAACACCUACUAAGGAGGUCUACCCGUCUGUCUGUCUGAACCUGCACGCAUGAAAUGCAGCACCCCCAGAAAGGGACGUUAGUAUGAAAUAAUGUACCUAGUAUGUAAGGCAAUAUACGGAAAGCUGAACUGAACUGAUAAUCUGAACAUAUGCUUACCUGCUGAUAAUGACUCAACUCUCUCAAUAUAGUUAGUAAAAUAGUUGCCCAGCCCUAUAAGGCUUGGUAUAUAUAUAUAUAUAACUACUCUGCCGUAGUAGGCUCGCUCAUAGGCACUCGGCCAUACUAGGCUCUGUAUCUAGACCAACUGGGCUCGCUCAUAGGCGCUCGGCCACAGUAGGCUCGGUAUAUAACUUACCAUCUGAUCAUAAGUUGCCCAAUAGGGGCCUGCCCAUCGAUUAUAACUCGUUAGUAAUAAAAAUACUAGAAUAAUGUAUAUAUAGACUCUCUGUUCUCUUGACUGGAAGAAGGAAAUACUCAAUUAAAUAUUGUACUUACAAGACUAGGUGUAACUCUUUCUGGAAAUGAGUCUACAAAUCAUGCCAAGCUACCCUUUGAACUUGUUCAACAUGAUGUGAGGCCUUGGAAAAAAUAUUCAUGUUACCCUUAUUGACUAUUUAUUCUUGAACUUGGUUGUUUUUAUGAAAAUUUCCCGAGUGAUUUUCACUACUCAAAUAUGCACAUACUAAGACCGCGAAGAACUUGUUACUUCCUAGGCGACAUGCAACUUCGAGUAAUGCCACAAAUAAUAUAAAAUUAGUAGAGUAUCAUUGGAUAUGUAUUUAAUUAAUUCAAACUCAAGAUUAAGCCCCAACUCCCUUAUCAAACAAAAGUUGUGGUUUGAACGAUUUACCUUAUUAAAUAUACGUAAAUUCCGGGACAUAAAUAUUUUCUUUAUACCUCGUUAUCAAACUUGUGUAAUUACGAGAUCAUGCCAAAAUGAAGGAAAAGCUUAGCCUUAAUAUACCUGGAUUAGGGAAAAGUCCGUAUGAUAUUCUUGGAAAAGAUUGCACUGUACUCCUUUAGAACCGUAAAAUUUUACAUUGCUAUGGCUCUAACAAUUCUUGUUGGAAUUGUUUGGUUGCAAGAAGUCACGUUGAAAACUUACAAGAAUUCACUUCUGAUUGUAACAUUGUUUUGUAUUAGAAUUUUUAGUAUUGAAAUGUCGUACUCAAAAUCCUAGAAUGAAGUGUUGCUAACGUUCUGAUGAAGUCUUUCAAAUAUGAAGUGUUGUGUUCAAAUUACUCUUACAAGUCUUGUUAUUCAAAAUGUAAGAAUGAGGUGUCUUUUAAUUAUUAAUUAGGUUGCCACCUAAUCCAAAAAUGACUAAGAGUCACUUGUUUAGAAAGUGGCUUGCUGCCACUUAAUCCCUUGUUGGGGAAUUUAAACUUUAUCCAAUAAUGAAUUAGGUAGUAUCCCGCUAUCCGGUAAUUAAUCGAUUACCCGCAUAAUUAAGAAUUAUCUCAAAUUACUUAAAAUUCUACUUAUUUUUAACACACUUUAUACAUCACACUAUCACGGUCAUAUGGUACCUUGUAUGGUACUAGUCCAUAAGUAUCGGGUAUUAUAGCUCGGACCGUAUUUCAUCCCAAAUCGGCAACCUUCAACGAAACUUUUUUUUUUUAAAUUCGUGUACCCUUUAUCUUUUAUGGAACUUACUUACCGCUUGUUAUAAAUAGCAUAAAUACAUUAAUCUCAAGAUCAUAUCAUCCCCGAGUCUACGUCAACUAACUGAAGACGAAACUUUUAUCGUACGAAAAUGUGAGAUGUAACAUCCUUCCCCCCUUAGAAAUAUUCGUCCUCGAAUGUCUACUCUUAGAUACUUUGGGAUAAUUUUUGCCAUAGUCUCCUCCGUACACUAGACUAAAACCACCUUGCACGCAGCCAGAUAAUAUAUUAUACAUUCCACACAUGGUCACUGUCUAUAAAUAGCAACACUUGGCUUCACACAUAUAUCCAUUAUGAAUUCUGAGAGUAAAAAAUGAGAGCUCACCUGAUGACCUACUGGCCUGAAUAUAGUUGUGCUGAGGUAUCCCACCUCGAGCAAUAUCUUCAGUUUGAAAUUGGUGAAGGUAUUUAGACUUCAUUUCUUCCUCCGCUUCCCACGUCAUCUCUUCCAUAUUAUUGCUCCUCCAUAAAAUCUUCACGGAGGUUAUAUCCUUAUUCCGUAGCUUGCGUAUUUUUCGGUCUAGGAUGGCAACCGGAAUUUCCUCGUAUGACAAGUCCUCUGUAAUAUAUAUAUCAUCCGUGGGCACCACUCGGGUAAGAUCGCCAAUGCACUUCCGUAACAUAGAUACAUGAAAAAGCGGAUGGACAUAAUCCAAUUCCGAGGGCAAUUCUAAUUCAUAAGCUACUUGGACCACCUUCCGAAUGAUCCCAUAUUGCCCAAUAUACCGUGGGCUAAAUUUGUCUUUCUUGCCAAACCUCAUCACACCCUUCAUAGGUGACACCUUGAAGAAUACCCAGUCAUUAACACCGAACUCUAAAUCUCGUCGACGCACGUCAGAAUAUGACUUCUGAUGACUCUGAGCUGUCAAUAGUCACUCCCGGAUAAGCUUUACUUUUUCUAUGGCCUGUUGAACCAGAUCCGGCCCAUGUAACCCAGAUUCUCUAACAUCAAACCACACUAUAGGAGAUCUGCACUUACGCCCAUACAAAGCCUCGUACGGAGCCAUCUGGAUACUGGAGUGGUAAAUUUUAUUAUAUGUAAACUCGAUAAGAGGUAGCAUCCCAACUUCUUUUAAAAUCCAACACACAUGCUCGUAACAUAUCCUCGAGCGUCUGAAUUGUGCGCUCGGCUUGCCCAUCAGUUUGUGGAUGAAAAGUUGUGCUGAGAUUCACCUGAGUUCCUAGACCUCUCUAAAAUGACCUCCAAAAAUAUGCUAUAAACUGGGCCCCACGGUUAGAUAUAAUAGCUACUGGUACUCCGUGUAGUCACACUAUCUCUUUAAUAUAUAACGUUGCAUAAUCUUCUGUUUUUAUAUGUAGAUCUGACCGGUAGGAAAUGAGCUGAUUUCGUGAGCCUAUCGACUAUCACCCAUAUGGAAAUGAAUUUACGAUGAGAAUGAGGUAAACCCGUGAUGAAGUCCAUGUUUAUCGCCUCCCAUUUCCAUGUCGGGAUCUCUAUAGUUUGCAUUAGCCCUCUGGGCUUCUGGUGCUCUAUCUUCACCUGCUAGAAACUAGGGCAUUGAGCGACAUACUCAGCAAUAUUCUUCUUCAUAUCGUUCCACCAAUACACAUCCUUAAUGUCAUGAUACAUCUUCGUCUACCCAGGGUGAAUGGAGUACCACAAAUAAUGUACCUUUGACAUAAUCUUAUCUCGUAGCCCUGCUACAUCUGGAAUGCACAAAUGACCCCUGUAUCUGAGAACCCCGUCUCCCUUGAGUUCUAACAACGACUUCUUCUACUGCGGAACUCGCUCUCUCAACUCGACCAACUCUGGGUCCUCAUACUGCUUCUCCUUUACUUCAGCUAUGAGAGAUGAUUUUGCAGUAUUUUGGAGUACAACUCCACCAUUGCCAGAAUCUACUAACCGAACCCCCAAACAAGCCAAUUGAUGAAUUUCUCUAGUUAAUUGUCUUUUUUCGGCCUCUACAUGUGCUAAGCUACCCAUAGAUCGGCGACUUAAGAUGUUUGCUAUAACAUUAGCUUUCCCUGGGUGGUAGAGAAUGUUAACAUCGCAAUCUUUCAAUAACUCAAGCCAUCGCCUCUAUUGCAAAUUCAACUCGUUUUGCUUCAAGAUAUAUUGCAGGCUUUUAUGAUCUGUAAAUACAUCAACAUGAACACCAUAUAAAUAAUGCCACCAUAUCUUAAGUGCAUGGACAACCGCAGCUAAUUCGAGGUCGUGGGUCGGAUAAUUCCGCUCAUGCUUCCUUAACUGCCUUGAAGCAUACGCAAUUACUUUCCCAUGUUCCAUAACGACACAUCCUAACCCGACACCUGAGGCAUCAUAAUACAUGGCAUAACCAUCUGGACCCUCUGGAAGUGCUAGAAUUGGCGCUGAAGUCAACCUGUUUUAAGCCCCUGGAAACUCCGCUCGCAAGCCUCCGUCCACUAAAACUUAGUUGCUUUCUGCGUCAACUUCGUUAAUGGUGCCAAAAGAGAAGAAAAACCCUCUACGAACCUCCGGUAGUCUCCUGCUAAGCCUAGAAAGCUACGAACCUCUGUUGGAGUGGUAGGUCUAGGCCAGGAUUGCACAGCCUCAAUCUUCUGAGUGUCUACCUUUAUACCUCCGUUGGAUACAACGUUCCCCAAGAAUGCUACAGACUUCAACGAGAACUUACAUUUAGAAAACUUAGCAUAUAAUUUACUAUCACGGAGGGUUUGGAGUACCGCUCGCAGGUGGUCCGCAUGCUCAUCCUUUGAACGUGAAUAAUCCAAAAUAUCAUCAAUAAAGACCACGAACAGAUCUAAAUAUGGCUGGAAUAGGCUGUUCAUCAAGUCCAUAAAUACAGCAGGUGCAUUCGUCAACCCGAAGGACAUGACAAGAAACUUGAAGUGGCCAUAUCGGUUCCAGAAAGCUAUCUUGGGGAUAUCUCUUUCCCGAACUCUAACGUGGUGGUACCCCGACCUCAAAUCUAUCUUUGAAAAGCAUCUAGCUCUCUGCAACUGAUCAAACAAGUCGUCUAUCCUUGGAAGUGGAUACUUAUUUAUUAUAGUUACCUUAUUCAGUUGCCUAUAAUCGAUACAUAUCCUCAGCGAGCCGUCUUUAUUCCACACAAACAGUACCGGUGCACCCCAAGGUGAAGUACUGGGCUUGAUGAAACCUUUCUCCGGUAAAUCUUUUAACUGCUCCUUCAACUCCUUCAAUUCGGCAGGUGCCAUUCUAUACGGAGGCAUGGAUAUUGGUUGAGUUCCCAGAAGCAAAUCAAUGCCAAAAUCAAUCUCUCGCUCUGGGGGAAUACCUGCAAGUUCAUCUGGAAAUACAUCCGCAUUCUCUUUUACUACUGGAAUAGACUAAAGUGUAGGUAUCUUAGUAUCUAUAUCUCUAACUUACAGAAUAUGAUAAAUGCACCCUUCUGUGAUCAUUUUCCUCGCCUUCAGAUAGGAAAUAAGCCUACCUCUGGGUGUUGCUAUAUUACCUACCCACUCAAGGACUAACUCACCCAGAAAAUGAAAUCUUGCUAUCCCUGCUCGACAAUCAACUGUGGCAUAGCAAGCUUUCAACAAGUCCAUGCCCAUAAUAGCAUCAAAAUCCAACAUCUCUAGCUCAACUAGGUCGGCUGAGGUCUCACGACCACAACCUGAUACCAUAUAACCUCGGUAAACCCGUCUAGAAAUAAUUGAUUCUCCGACCGGUGUAGAUACCACAAAAGGAUCACUUAGUAUUUCAGACACUAUACCAAACUUCCGCGCGACAAACAGGGUAAUACAUGAUAAAGUAGAUCCUGGGUCUAUCAAGGUAUAAGCACCGUCAGAGCAAAUGGUCAACAUACCUAUCACAAUGUCUGGUGAGGAUUCCUGGUCCUGUCGACCCGCUAAUGCAUAACUACGAUUUUGGUUACCACCUGAACUGAAACCUCUACCUCUACCUCGACCUCUACCAGCCGAAGACUGAGACUCGCGCCUUGAAGGAUGCAUGGACAUAGAUAAUCCUGUUGCUAAAUUCACUAGUUGCGCCAUACCCCCAGAAUCUCUAUUUAGGCAAUCUUGCACCAUAUGCCCCAAACGUCCACAUGUAUAUCAAGCAUCGGAAUCGGCUCGGCAUUGGCCCAAGAGUCCUCUACCGCAGAUGGCACACUGCGGCAGAAAUGGCCAUGUCUGCCCUGAACCUCGCUGUCACUGCAAACUUGACGCCUGGGAGCUUUCACCUGGUCCUGACUGAGUAUAGCGGUUAUACAUGUAACCCUGUAGCUGAGGUGGUGGAGGUCUAGGUGGUCGUUCGAAGUAUUGGGGCCUGUAACUACCCUGAGACUGCUCCUGAGAGCUGGCAAAUCUCAUCCUCUUAUGCUGCCCUGAGUCCGUCCUCUCCGUACCCUACUGCCGACGCCUACCCCUUUCUAUAUUCUGGGCAAAUGCCUGAAUCCGGGAGAUAUCCAUACUAUCCUGUAAUGCAGUGGUGGCACAUGCCUCAGUCAACUCUAGGGCCAACCCUGCUAUAAACCUUUGGAUUCUAUCCUACAUAGUAGCAACUAUGGAUGGUGCAUAUCUUGCCAAUGAGUCAAAACGGAGACUAUACUCCCGAACCCUCAUAUUGCGCUACUUGAGGGCUAGAAACUGAUCAACUCGGGCCUGUCGGAUCUCUUGCGGUAAGUACUGGUCAAGGAAGGCAUCUAAAAAAUUCUCCCAAAUAGCAGGAGGUGCAUCACGUCCCCUAGACCCUUCUCAUCCCUCGUACCAAAGGAUAGCUGUAUCUCGGAGUUGAAAAGCUGCUAGCUCGACUGCCUCUUUCUCCGUGGCAUGCAUAACCCGAAAGAUCCUGUGAAGCUGAUCUAUGAAANNNNNNNNNNNNNNNNNNNNNNNNNUCAUGCGGGUCCUCCCUCUAAUCUGUCCCCGUGAACUCUGGUAGACUCAAAGCCAUAAACUCUCGGACCCUUGAACUCCCAGAUCCCUCAGAAGGUCCUGCACUAGCAGAUGCCCUAGCGUGUUGUUGGGUAGCUAUCAACUGUGCCAAUAAAUGCACUGCACUCCUUAAGUCCUAGGAAUCUCCUCAGGUGGCGGAGGAGCCGGAAAUGGUUGGGUAGGGGUCUCUCCCUAGGCCUCAGAUUGGGCCCCAUCUACUAGGGGUACCCUGCUAGUCCUCUCACCUACUGUUGUUUCUAUCCUCUAGCUAGCCGUAGUCUUCCUAGUUACCGUCAUUUGUGCAUGCAAACUUCAACACGUAAGUUUAACUCAAAUUUCUUAUAACUCAAUGCUACAUCACGAUUUAGAUUUGAAAGAAGGGUAACCAACUCCUAAAUGCUCUGUAGUCCCCUGCUUAUAUAAUGUGGUGCACGAUACAUCUAUAAACAAGACCCUACUAGAAACGACUUGUUGACUCACUAGGACAGAACUGCUCUGAUACCACUUUUGUCACGCCCCGAGCCUGGCGGCGAGACCGGUACCCGGUGCCUCAUCUAUCCUUGCGUACCAACUUACGACUCAGGAAUUCUGGACAUAUAAUGUCAUACUUUGGCCAGGGACCAUAUUGCAAGAAAAUUUACGAAGCAAAACAUAAAACUGAAUAGAGACUAACGCUGACUAAAUGUCAACAUAAAGCUGGGCCGGUAAGGCCGUCAUAAUUACAACAACUGACAAGCCAACAAAAUAUACGUACAGGGCCUACAAGCCCAACAUACUGCACUAACUGAUAGGAUAUGUCUAUAAGCCUCUACUGAUAGAUGUAUUGUGAUCGGAACAGGGCCCCAACCUACCCAUAACCUAUCUACAUAUAUAGAUGUACACAAAACUUCUAGACCUGGCAACUCCGAAGGACGGGGAGCUUACCGAUAAAGCUGAACUCGGGCAACACCUACUGAGGAGGUCUACAUGUCUGUCUGUCUGAACCUACACGCAUGAAAUGCAGCGCCCCAAGAAAGGGACGUCAGUUCGAAAUAAUGUACCAAAUAUGUAAGGUAAUAUACGGAAAGCUAAAACUGAACUGAUAAUCUGAACAUAUGCUUACCUGCUGAUACUGACUCAACUCUCUUAAUAUAGUAAAUAAAAUAGCUGCCCGGCCCUUUAAGGCUUGGUAUAUAUAUAUAUAACUGCUCUACCGUAGUAGGCUCACUCAUAGGCACUCGCCCAUACUAGGCUCUGUAUCUCGACCAACUAGGCUCGCUCACAGACGCUCGACCACAGUAGGCUCGGUAUAUAACUUACCAUCUGAUCAGAGGUUUUCCAAUAGGGGCCUGCCCAUCGAUUAUAGCUCGAUGGUAAUAAAAAUACUAUAAUAUUAUAUAUAUAGACUCUCUGCUCUCUUGACUGAAAGAAGGAAAUACUCAAUUGAAUAUUGUACUUUCUGGAAAUGAGUCUGCAAAUCAUGCCAAGUUACCCUUUGAACUUGUUCAACAUGAUGUGAGGCCUUGGAAAAAGUAUUCAUGUUACCCUUAUUGACUAUUUAUUCUUGAACUUGGUUGUUUUUAUGAAAAUUUCCCUAGUGAUUUUCACUACUAAAAUAUGCACAUACUAAGACCGCGAAGAACUUGUUACUUCCUAGGCGACAUGCAACUUCGAGUAAUGCCACAAAUAAUAUAAAAUUAGUAGAGUAUUAUUGGAUAUGUAUUUAAUUAAUUCAAACUCAAGAUUAAGCCCAACUCCUUAUCAAACAAAAGUUGUGGUUUGAAUGAUUUACCUUAUUAAAUAUACGUAAAUUUUGGGACUUGAUUUUUUCUUUAUACCUCGUUAUCAAACUUGUGUAAUUACGAGAUCAUGCCAAAAUGAAGGAAAAGCUUAGCCUUAAUAUACCUAAAUUAGGAAAAAGUCCAUAUGAUGUUCUUGAAAAAUAUUGCACCGUUCUCCUUUAGAACCGCAAAAUUUUACGUUGCUAUGGUUCUAACAAUUCUUGUUGGAAUUGUUUGGUUGCAAGUAGUCACGUUGAAAACUUACAAGAAUUCACUUCUGAUUGUAACAUUGUUUUGUAUUGGAAUUUUUAGAAUUGAAAUGUCUUGUACUCAUAAUCCUAGAAUGAAGUGUUGCUAACGUUCUGAUGAAGUCUUUCAAAUAUGAAGUGUUGUUUUCAAAUUACUCUUACAAGUCUUGUUAUUCAAAAUGUAAGAAUGAGGUGUCUUUUAAUUAUUAAUUAGGUUGCCACCUAAUCCAAAAAUGACUGGGAGUCACUUGUUUGGAAUGUGGCUUGCUGCCACGUAAUCCCUUUGUUGGGGAAUUUAAACUUUAUCCAAUAACCAAUUAGGUAGUAUCUCGCUACCCGAUAAUUAACCAAUUACCCGCAUAAUUAAGAAUUGUCUCAAAUUACUUAAAAUUUUACUUAUUUUUAACACACUUUAUACAUCACACUAUCACGGUCAUAUGGUACCUUGUAUGGUACUAGUCCAUAAGUAUCGGUAUUAGAGCUCGGACCGUAUUUCAUCCCAAAUCGGCAACCUUCAACGAAACUCAUUUUUUUAAUUCGUCUACCCUUUAUCUUUUAUGGCACUUACUUACCGCUUGUUAUAAAUAGCAUAAAUACGUUAAUUUCAAGAUCAUCUCAUCACCGAGUCUACGUCAAUUAACUGAAGACGAAACUUUUAACGUACGAAAAUGCGAGAUGUAACAGAGACGAUUGAGCUUAGCUGAGACUGAAGCUCCUCAACUUUUUAGGCCCGCUCCUCGAAGUUGGACCUCAAACGAAGUCAGCUGCACCCGAGCAGUCUCCUUUUCUGAGGCCAGACAGUCCAUCCUGCCUCUCCAUUCUUCAGCCUCGACCUUUACUACAUCCAUCUCAGCUUGGAGUUGGUCGAUUCGAUCGAUAUUCUGUUGGACCUGCGAAUUCUGACCAUUAGUCACCGAGUCUAGCUCAUCGUCACUAACUUCAAAUAAUUUUAUCUAUUCGACCAGGUCGGCAUGCUCCCUCCAGGCCACCUCCAGCUCAGCUUGGAGGCUCUUAGCCUCUCCUUCACGCUACUCGCUGAAAAGUUUGUAAAUAUCUCUCUUCUCAGUGAGCCCUCGGACCUCGGCCUCAAGCUGGUUCAGCUUAUCCUAAUAUCGAAGAAAAGUUUCAUGAUAAAGCACCGAGGCCUACAGAAACAGAACAAUGUUAGGGUUAUCUACGAAUUAGUCUAAGUACAAGUUAAAGUCAUCAAGAAAUAUCUGAAAUUAUCCGAUUUAGCGCCUGUCAUGCUUCGUUGAAUAGGCAGGGCGCAUCUACCUCGUUCAUCUUGGCUUGGUCUUCCUCAGUCACCAGACACUGAAGGUAGCUGGCCACCCCUACGGGGGCGGAGAAGACCCGGGCAUCCUCCGAAAUAGAGAUGAUGAUGGAUCGCUUUUGGUCAAGAUCCACGCUCGGAGCCGGGAACCGGUUGAUCAAUUUCGGGCUUAAGGAAGGCCCGCUUGUUCCCGAAGAUGGACUCUUCUUUGGUACCUCUAAGUCACCCAAUCUGGUGACGUACCUCCGUGGCGGUAGAAUCCACGCCAUCAAAAAAGCCGCAAAAGGGGUCGUCCUCUCCAUGGGCCCCCUCGUUGGGACGUUCUUUCACCGUUUGAGCCUCGUUAUACAUGCACUCGGUGAAUGAGGGUGACUCAGUGAUGUCUAUCAAACCAUGUACUUCCUUCGGGACAUUGCCUGCAUCCCGGGAAGCCUCGGCCCCUACCUUCUUGUCGGCCUCCCUAACCUGAGGCAGAUCGACCUUGACUCUCUCCGGUUCGGAGGCCCUUAGCCCUUCGAGUUGCGGCAGCACGCGGGCCAUCAGAUCGAACGCUUAACCUUCUUCUUCCGAUUCGUCCCUCAACCGAUAGAGUGAAUCUAAAUAUGGUGCUCGAGCGCUGGUGCUUUCUUUAGACUUGUGCACCAGCCUUCUCCUUGUUUUCUUCUUCUCCGAGCUCGGAGAACUCGGAUCGCUCUUUCUUUUCUUCUCUUCGGCCUGUCUCGGAGCGGUGGACUCGGUAGGUAAGUCCUCGCUACCAGCUGGAGGCCAUAGUUUGACAUCCUUGGAUAAACCUGGGAAAAGAAAUAAAACAAGUGAGAACUUAAUGACGCAAGAGGAACCCAAGAGAGAAGAAUAUGACUCAAUUAUCGUUAAAACUGAUGGUAUCCUUGGGUGUAUUUAAUAUGUUUCUCAUCUCCUGUUAUGUGUUCCUGAUGAUCCACGUUAAAGUAUGGCAGCUAGUGAAAAUGGACGUUUUCGUGUACCUUAUAUAUGCGGUAAAUUAAUUUUUCCUAUAUAGGGUGUAGAAAUCUCGCAGAUCAAUGUUGGCAAAAAGAAAUGGGUGGAGUAAUAAAAUAUGAGUCUGUUGACUGUUUAAUAGUGUGUACUUAAUUAGAUAUUGUCUUAAUCUAUAUUUUGUAUGUGACUCUUAUAUGGCAUUUCAAAAAUAUACCGAAAAGUAACCGAUCCGUACAGAAACCGAAGAGAAAUUGAGAUGACUCAAGAUGGUUUUGAAAAGUCUAAUUUUGAUUACACACAAUAGAAUAAGCAAAAAAUGGUAUGGUCUAUAUUUUAUAAAAUAACUGACCGAACCGAACCAUUAACACCCCUAACUUUACAUAUAUUUCAUACGAGUCAAAAUAUUUUAAUCAUUUAAUUUCAAAAACACCAAAAAUACUUGCAUACUUUAUCCGCACAUAAUUUAUUACAUAUAUAAUUUCGUUAUUGUUCAUUCUAGUACACGUUAAUAAUUCUUUUAUUUUUUGUAAUAGUUUUGAGUAUUUGCUAAUUAUCUUUGAACCUUCCCUCCUUUAUUUGAUCGAGUCCACCAAAAUCAUAUUUUUGUGGAUCUUGAGGGAUGCCUAACACCUUCCCCUCAAGAUAACUUGAACCCUUACCUAGAAUCUCAAACAUUUUGCAAAUCAUAGUUAAAGUGUAUAUUAUGUAGUAUAGUAUAAGUAUCCUAGUAUACCUUAAAUAUUAGGUGGCGACUCUAAAUAAUAAUUAACCUUGUAGAGUACUAUAAGUUGUACAUUAUUUUGACUUGUGCAAAAUAGGGUGCAACAAGAUGGCGACUCUGCUAGGGAUACUUCAAGUUCUAACCACAGCGAAUUUGAUCAAAUACUUUAGGGAUUACAGGUUCUCCAAUACUCCAACUUCUAUUCUUUAUGUCACAUGUUUCAAGUCAUAUAUUAUUUGCUUCAAUUUGUAUAUUCUUCACUUUAAGGUGUAUAUUCUUUGCUUCAACUUGUAUAUCUUUCGUCACAUGCUUAAAGCAGCCUAUUCUUUGUUAUGCGCUUCAAGCGGUAUAUCCUUUUUCAUAUGCUACAAGUCGUGUAUUCUCUGUCAUGCGCUUCAAGUCGUGUAUUCUUUGUCAUGUGCUGGAAGUUGUAUAUUCUUUGUUACGUGCUUCAAGCCACAUAUUCUUUGUCAUGCUCUUGUUGUAUAUGCUUUUAUGCAUACCCAUGUUGUAUAUACUUUCACAGAUGCCCAUGUUGUACAUUCUUGGUCACAUGCUUUUGGUGCUGCCUUAUCAAAUUGUCUUCACUUUUCUAUCGACUCUUGGUCAUACACAAUCACACACAAGUUACGUGAGGGUUGUCUUUUCACCUCUCUGAACCUUCUUGCAAAACUCUCUAGUUUCAAAGAUCGGCAUACGAGGUUAACUAUGUACCAUCUCGCAGUUGUCCUUAACUCAUGCUCAAAUAUAGGUAAAUCUACUCUUAGAAUUCCUAGGUCACUGUACAUAUGAUCUUGCAACUUUCUUUAGCUGGAUUAAUUGUUACAUACCCUUUGCUCGCUACCUAUUCUUUGUCCGAUGUACAUUCUUCAUCUGGUAUGCAUCCUUCAUCUGCUACAUAUGUCUUCUACUUGUUAUCCACAAUAGCUUCUCUUUGCCUCACUAAGCUCUGGUUGACUUGUGUUGAACCUUGACCUUUCAAAUACACAUACCAAUUCUGGUAUUCAUGACCAUCCAUUACAAUCAUACCAUUCUUUGGACUCUACCAUCCUUUUCCAAACAUACAUCAAUUCAGCUUGGUACAUCUUUCACUGAUUUGAUGUAUUUGUCACGACCCCAAUUUCCCUCCGUAAGAUGUCAUGAUGGAAACUAGUCUCUAAGACUAGGUAAGCCUAACAUUCAUAUAGAAAUGAUAAAUAUAAGUCUCAAAACUCAGCAACUAUAAUCAAUAAACUCUGUGACACAGUAUAUAAAACUCCCGAGACCCGCUGAAUACAACUCACAAGCUAUAAAUAGAAGUACUGCAUGAUCCUAUACAUUAAUAUCUAUAAAAGGAUAAGGAAAAUAGAACAGUCACGGUAGAGGGGGACUCUGAGGCCUGCGGACGCCGUCAGGUAUACCUUGAAGUCUCCGCAGCUAAACUCUCGCUAAUGCCUGGGCUGGUAGGAGAUACCUGCAUCUGCACAAGCGUAGCAUGAGUAUACCAUAACGGUACCCAGUAAGUGCCAAGCCUAGCCUUGGUAGAGUAGCGACGAGGUCAGGUCAAGGCCCUACUGGAAUAAAUAAGAAGACAGAACAAGUGUAAGGCAUUGUAAUAAUGACUAUAAUGAAAUAGAAACAAUAAAUAACAUAUCAAGGUUAGCUACACGGAACUAAAGCAAUUAGUGCAACACGGAGAAAAAUAAUUAAUAAUAUGCUAAGGAUCUCAGCAAUAGGUGCAGCAAUAGAUGAGGAACCCUCUACAAAUCGACGUUAAUAACCUGCCAAACCAAGAAAACUCUAGAUCUCAGUAGCCGGGACGCAAGUCCUUUCUUCAAACAUUUGGCUACAGAGUCAUGGUGUUCACUCCCACUUCCCAAAUUCAAAUAUUCAAUACAAGUCAACCCAUUUUGCUACAGAGGCAAGUUGUUAGUCAGCCUUCGAGAAGUGUCAUGCCCGCACGAUUCAAAUUAACAAAGAAGAACAAGCAAAGCUUUGAUUCAACACAAACGAUUCCCCUCCCUGAAAUCUAAGAACUUUUCUUUGGACACACGAAGGACAACAUCUCUGAAACCAUCAUGGAAAGUUGACAUCGUAUUUUCAAUCACAACCGGACACGCUACUAGAAGCACGACCUAUCUCUGCACCCUCUUAAUUUUAUAACUUCACCUAAGAGGAACUCUAACAUUUUCACCUCCGGGUUUUGUAGGAAUAUCAUCCUUGGCACUUCACGAGAGAUAUCAUAUGGACUUGGACUUGGUGGAUCAUCAGUCAAAUAAUGAGGGGAGUAGUAGUUUUACUAUGAACUCUAUCAUUUUUUAUGACUUUGCUACUCUCACCACUUUUCUAUAUUCUAAUCAUAACAUCGUUCCCGAUUGUCAACCAGAGACGAUCAUGAAAUGGUUUCUAUGGACGGCCCAAAGGUGCAUCAUCCUGGGACUGCACGAGAAAUAGCAUCCAACAUCGGACAUUGUGGAACAUCAACCAAACAAUCAGGGGAGUGUUGCUUAUAAUUCUUAAUUCCUUCAUUUUAUGACGACACUACUCUCACCAUAUUUCUAUAUGUGCAUCAAAUAAUCACCCCGGCUAUCACCAAAAAGUUUCUGUGGACAGCUGGAAGGUCGCAACUAAACUUCCCUGCAGUCAAUUGGGAGACAACUACAACAACUAUCUCGCAAACAGUCAGGGGCAUCGAAGCAAUUGUUUGAAGGAGCAACUGGGGCACAUCUUCUGGAGGGAAUCACUCUUCAACUCCAGAGAUACCAUGUUACACCCCAUGUUUCCGUACAUAAGAGUACGUCAUAAGUCAAUUGAUGUAAGUUCAGAAAUGAGAUCAUCUUUGAAAAGUUAAUAAAGUAAGUUAAUCAUGUAACCGUGGACGUUACAAAUAUUAAGAUCACGAAUACCAUGUAACAAGAUGGUUGGAAGGCUUAGAAGCUAAACGAAUUAAAGAAAAUAAGUUUUGUCAAAAGUCGACAAGUUGGGAAUGUUAUAGCAUAUACUUCUGGGGUGAGACUAUGGUGCUUAACUGUAUAAUGAGGUUAUGUUAUAAGUUAUUUUAUCCGUAUGAUAGUCGUGUUUUAUGUUUUGUAGUCAAGCGAGUUGUGGAACAAAAGUUGGCAAAGGUCAUCACAAGUUACAUUCAUAAAUGUGCUGAAAUAUAGGUCAAAUAUAGCUGAGCUUUUCUACCAAUAUACUUGGAAUUUUGGGGUGAUCUACUUACCAAAUUGAAUAUCUAUGAGUCUAUUUUCUAACACAUUUAACCGUUUGUCAAUACGACAUUGUAUUAGAGAGAUAUUUGCAUUUUUUCAAGACUGCACAAGCAGCUCCCAUGGGACCCACAAAGUCGGUGUAAAACUCCAGCCCGUAUCUAAGUCAGUUCUAAGUUGUUUUAACUCAUAUUUCUCGACCACCAAAGUUCCUAAACCCUCCUAGAUGCUCUCCUAGAGUUCAUCCAUGAUUCUAUAGUGAAAACCAAAGAUAAAAACAUGAAUCCAAUGCAAAAUAUUCUGUUGUGCUUGCUAGAUCAUAGUUUUUCAUCUUGUGGCUAUUUUGGAGGGUUCUUCAAAGUGAAGUAACCUCAGGUUUCUUGUUGUUCUUGUUGAUUAAGGUAAUAAUCAGUCCCUCCUUCAUAUAUAUUAGAUUUUAAAGGUGAACUACAAGUGUUUAUACACCAACUUGAACACCAAAAGUUGAUUCAAGAAGAGAAUACAACACCUAUAGUGUUGUGGUGUCAUUGAGGAUAGUUGUGGCCUGUGCUUGGCUGAAAUUUUGUUGUACUUGUUGUUGUUGUUAGAUUUUUGGGCUAUUUGAUGGUGAAUUAGGAGAUGAAUAGGAGGAUAGAAGUCCUCCCAUUGUACUUAAUAUCAUUCUGACUAUGUCAUUAAGUUAAUGAAUGAAUGACUUUGGGAUUAAAGAGUUCAAAAGAGAUUCAAUCUGAGCUUGUCGUUUAUCGUGUUAAAUAGUAGUUUCGUUGGUGAUGUUUAUGCACUUGUUGUUGUGUAGAUUGAUUUAUGUUGUGGUGCGGAAAUUAUAUAGGUGAAGGUUGUAUGGGUUCGUGUUGGUUGAUGGACUUGGUAAUGUAAGGAAAACAGUGGAGAUGCUUCCCAUUUUAAUAUAAAAAUAAGCUUGUCGUUCGUUGAACGAUAGUUGCAUCUUUCGUAGCUUAACGAUAGCAUUAUUAUCGUUACUGUAGACUGAAGUGCGGCGAGAGAAGUUCAACGUGGUUAUCGGACAUAUUGUGAUAAGGUAUGUUAAGGCACUUCCUUCUUUCUUUUGGCAUGAUCUAAAGUGGAAUGAUCAUAAACGAUACGCUAUUUCAUAAUGGAUCUACUCCUAGCAACUAAGACUGUAAAUGUUGUUAUUUCCUUAUAAAGUUAUUCUAAGCAAGUAUGUAUGAUCCUUGAAUCCUAUUGAGGUUCAUAUUGAUGGUAUGGAUAUCCAUAAUGUUAAUCAAAGGUACGAAGACCCUACGUCACUCCAAAGGGUUUAGAACGUGAUUCCAUGAGUCCAGUAUGCAUUAUAUAUAUGUACCUAUUUUACUCUACCGAGCCAUGCUAUAGUUGGCCGGGUACGACACCUACUAUACAACCACUUAUCAGUUGGGUUUUACCGAGCUCCACGUGGCCGGGUAUGAUUCUAGCAAGCCUUAUGAUUGCCGGGUAUGUUUUUACCGCGCCUAUUAUGGCCGGGUACGAUAUAAUGAUGAUGAUGCCCACAGAGGCGUAUGUUUUUAAAAGUUUAUGUAUAUAUAUAGAUAUAUCAUGCAUUUCAUGUCAGUAGCCCUCAGAGGCACUCAGAUGUUACGUGUCGUAGCUUCUCUAUCUCUCUUUGCAUUACUAUUCUUAUUUAUGUUGUAUUGCCUUACAUACUCGGUAAUUUAUUCGUACUGACAUCCCUUUACCUGGCGACGCUGCGUUUCAUGCCCACAGGUCCCGAUAGACAGGUUGGCAGUCCUCCUAGUAGGCUAUUAGCUCAGUAGAAGGCACUCCACUUGCUCCGGAGAUGCAUAUUUUGUCAGUAUGAUUUGGACAUGUAUUGAUUGGUAUGGCGGGGCCCUGUCCCGACCUUUAUGACGUUUAUGUACUCUUAGAGGCUUGUAGACAGAUGUCAUGUAUAUGGAUGAUUGUAUGACCUUGUCGGCCUAUGUUUUGAAUGUACAAUUGAUCAUUUCGAUCUUAUAGACCCGUAUGUCACAUGUAUAAGUUUUUAUACCAUGUUGGGUCAUCCUAUGUCUAGUAUUCUCUUAUGUUUUAAUCUGGCUAUCUCAUGACGGCCUUUCUGGAUCAUUUACCCAUGGCGGUGUGCUAAGAAAUAUACAUUACGUUGGUACUCGAUUGAGUAAGGCACCGGGUGCCCGUCGCAGCCCUCUGAUUUGGGUCGUGACAAAUGUGGUAUCGGAGCAGUUCUGUCCUUGGGAGUCUACAAGCCGUUUCUAGUAGAGUCUUGUUUAUGGGUGUGUUGUGCACCACACUUAUAAGUAGGAGGCUACAGGGCAUUUAGGACUAUCACUCUUUGUUAUUACUCUAGAUCGUGUGGUAGAGCUCAGUUGUAAGAAUUCAAACUCUUAAAUUCUACUUUAUGCGUAAUACAACAAUACCUACAUCUAGAAAGACAAUUGGUAAGAGAUUGAAUGUGGUUGUGCAAGAGUUGAGUCGGAGGAAAUCAAUUUUGCAUCAUGCUCAUGAUGAGUAAAUGUAAGGUCUUCAGUAGAUCAUGUGUGUACUAAGACGUGUAAUCUUCUUGAUAACGAGCCCUAAAGCAUGAAUAUGUAUCCACCCAUACGGUUUAAAAAGCAAAAAGAGAAUCAAAAGAUAGAUACAAGUUUCAACAAGUAAAAGAAGCAAGGUGAAGAAGGGUAUGAGGUACCCAAUUAGUGAAGAUUAUCAGUAUUUACAAUUCAGGCAGAGAAAUAUAAGCAUUCUGAGUUACUUUCAAUAGUAAUAGAGAUAUAUACACUUGACAACACCCAUCUCACUUAUGCCCUAUGGGAGCUAACAGAUAUAGUUUAAGAGAAGGAUGGGACAUCAGGAUCCAGUUGGGGUUAGAUUAACCUAAAAUGGUGGAUGGAUUGUUAGCAUUAGCUGACAUUUCCAAAGGAUAUCACAAACGUGGCAAUAUUUCUCCUUGUGAGACACCUAGAUGGUGCACUCUAGAAUAGUAUAAUUAGAUAUGAAUACAAGAAUUUUCAGAAAAUUCAAAAGAUAGGCACUGGAAUCCAAGAAGGGAUAAAUAUUUACCUUACUAUGGCUCCCAUCCCUAGUUAAGAGAGAAUGUUAGGUGACCCGAAGAGCCAGUGAGAUGGUGCAAGGGGAGCUAAAAGCGAAAAAAUAUUUUGUUGAAGUUUUCAGAAUAAGGUGAUACACAGAAAUACUAACAGGAGAAUAAGAAGAGUGUAAAUGAAGCAUUAUGAGUAAGAUCUGAUAAAUGGGUGAUAACGGUAAAGUAAAGAGUAUAAGCGAUAAAGUCAUAUCCUCAUUUCGAGAAAUGAGUUGGUGACUCCAAUGUGAUUACCAAAAUGAAAAGUUAGACCCCUGGAGUAAUAGAAAUUAGUAUGGAAUAGUGAACAAGAUACACUGAACAUGAAUUCGGGACCGAAGGAUUUGAUAAUAGUUGACAUCGUGAGAAUUUCAGAGAUCACGUUCCGGCGGUAAUAGAAUGGACAACAGAAGAAUAACCUUUAAAGGUCAUUUAGGAAGGCGCUUCCCUAAAACAAGCACUGUGAGCAGAGUUAAGCUUAAGGUACUAAGUGUGCCAGUUACACUAGGUGUCACCAUCGUGCGUAAGAAAUUCAGCUAUCCCUGGUACAGAAGGGUUACCGCAUGGCUAGUAAGAGUCAGUGAAGAUGUGAAUAGACCUCAAAGUGUAAGAGGUAAAGCAUUUAUACGUAAAUCUUCAUAGCAUUAAAUGUUAGUAUUCCCCUAAAGGGAGAAAGAUGGUGUGAUUUGGUAUUAAGUCGGACUUAAGUGGUUCAGGUAAAUAUAGAAUGGUAAAGGAAGAAUGUGUUAUAAAGGCAAAAGGAAUGAGAUUGCAUUUACUCAGAUCAUAUAGAUAUGUCACGACUCUUGAACGAUAUGCAAGCAUGAUGCUGGUAAGAUGCAAUAAGGGUUCCCGACAAGGAUGUUAAUUGGUAAAUAAGUGCGAAUAGACACUUGAUACAUAAGGAGCCAGUGCGAGAGGUAAGUUAAGAGAGAAAAAAUAACCCAAGAGGGGUUAUGCUGAAUACAGAUAUGAGAAUGGACCAAUGAGUAGUCUGUAGUUGAUUCAGGAAGAGUCUAGUGAUGGAUAGACAAAAGGUCACAGAUAAAUCAACAGAUUAUGCAAGAUAAAUGUAGUGAACCCUAGCAUAGGGAAUUCAGUCUCGCAGACAUGAGAUCGCAAUCCUUGAAAAAGUUUAAGAUAGGAGUUGGGGUAGUUAAAGGUACCGUUAAAGUUUUACGAAAAUAAGAGAGAGUGCCACUAAGGAGACAAUCAAAAUUUGUGAUCAGAAGUAACCCUACGAGCGCAAGGACACGGAGGUAUGUAACUAAGGAUAUUUAUUGGCUAGUAAGAACAUCAAAAAUUUUGUUAGGUAUACGAUGUAAUAAACUCACAACUUUACAAGAGUCAGAGGGUCUCCCUUAAGUUCUACAACGAAAGACUAGUUGAGGAAAUAAGGAAAAACGUUUCUACCUAAGCAUAGUGACCUAGAGAAAUAAUGGUCUUGUUACAACAGUCUCACUACAAUAUCAUAUGCACUCUAUAAGAAAGUGGCACCUAUAGUGACUAAUGAACGGGAAGUAAAUUCAAAAGUAAUAUUCAAGAUCAUAUGGGUUGCAUGGAUUUCCAAUAUGUGUGGGCACUAAGAGAAGUAUUCAUGCAAAAAGUGGCAGAACGACCAGGAAAAGUAAUUGCGUACAUUUAAAGACAACUGAGAAGGCACGAAAGGAAAUCUAUGGUACUAGCAAUUAAAAGGAAGAUUGCGAGUAGUAUAAAUAGAUAUGUGCAGGUCGCAAGCUAAAGUAUGGUAGAGCGACAAGGUUUUAGGUAGAUAGGAGUAAGGAUAAGAAAAGGUGAGUGAGAAGGUGACAACAAUAGGUAAUGCCUCGGAAUUAAGCCCAUCAAAACAAGAGAGUUAAUGGUUUUCGUAAGUUAUAGAAAGCUCAGUAUAGCCUGAAUGAACUGAAUGGAGUUUAAAACUAGGAGCAUUUAGAAGAGAUGGAAUGCUGCCCUGGUCAUAAUGUAAGGGUGUAUUUGUGAUAAAUGAUAAGAGGAUGAUUCUUAGGCCUUCGAUUGAUUAAUGAUUCAAAGAGAAGAGAUUUCAUAAAUUUCAUGGGAUUAGAAUAACCCCAUAAGAUGAAUCGCGUUGAGAUUCUAUGAAAUACGGUUAUUGAUGUAUAGUAUCGUCCCUAGAUGGAUCAGGCAAAUAACUUCAGAUGUUCCCCAAUGACAAGUGAGCCCUAGUAACAAUGUAUUACGUACAAAGUUUUAAGUUAUCAGUUGUAGAUUACAGAUCAACAUUAAGGUGAAUCAAUAAUGGUUGGAUAAAAGUUACAAAGUAUGAGAUGAAAUUAGGCCGUCAUUCUUAAGGUGAACAGUAAUGAGAAAGCAUUAAAAGACUUAUGUAUAUAUAUAUAUAGGAUAAGCACCGAGAGAGUAGCUUGGAUUUGGGUAGCAGACCUCGGUAAUAAUAAACCAAAGUAAGUUUUAUGGUAUAGUAUGACCUACCUAGAUGCAGUAAAGGUACAAGGAUAGACAACUGAGGCUAUGAAACAAAAUAAAGCAAUAAUCGUAAGUUAGACAAAGUACCGAGCGAAGAACAUCAGUACACCUAUAGAUGCCUAUAGGGACAACUUAUCAUAGUUCUGCAUAUGUUCACAAAGGGAGGCCUAGAGAUUGGCUAAAAGAUGGAGGACAAAGGAGAGAAGAGUCACAUAGGCGCACAUAUAAGGACAGGGUCGUACAGUCUGCAUGACAUAAGGUAGCAAUAGUUAUGAGAUUAGAAGAAUUCCGAUCACAAGUCGUGGUGUAAGAAAGAGGCCUAAAUGGGGAAAUGCCCUGGUAUUUGGAUUUAUUCACAUAACAGUUGCCUAGAUGAAAAGAAUUGUAGUAAAGUAUUCAUAAGAUCUAUAGGUUAUGAGACUGAUAAGAGCAUCAGUCAACAUUCGAAGACGAAUGUUCCUAAGGGGGGAAUCAUAUUACACUCCAUAUUUUCGUACAUAAGAGUACGUCGUAAGUCAAUUGAUGUAAGCUCAGAAAUUAGAUCAUCUUUGAAAAGUUUAUAAAGUAAGUUGAUCAUGUUACCGUGGACGUUACAAAUAUUUAAGAUCACGAAUACCAAGUACCCAGAGGGUUGGAAGGCUUAGAAGCUAAGCGAAUUGAAGAAAAUAAGUUUCGUCGAAAGUCGACAAGUUGGGAAUGUUAUAACAUAUACUUUUUGGGUGAGACUAGGGUGCUUAACAUUAUAAGGAGGUUAUGUUAUCAGUUAUUUUAGUCUUAUGAUAGUCGUGUGUUAUGUUCUAAAGUCAAGCGAGUUGUGGAACAAAAGUUGGCAAAGGUCAUCACAAGUUACAUUCAUAAAUGUGCUGAAAUUUAAGUCAAAUGUAGCUAAGCUUUUCUCCCAAUAUACUUGGAAUUAUGGGGUGAUCUAUUGACCAAAUUGAAGAAAUACGAGAGUAGUUUCUAAUAUAUUUAACUGUUUGUGGAUACGGCAUUAGAUUAGAGAGAUAUUUGCAUUUUUGCAAGACUGCACAAGCAGCUCCCAUAGGACCCACAAAGUCGAUGUAAAACUCCAGCAUGUAUUUAUGUCAAUUAUAAGUCGUUUUAACUCAUUUUUCUCCACCACAACAGUUCCUAAACCCUCCUAGAUGCUCUCCCAGUGUUCCUCCAUGAUUCUAGAGUGAAAAUCAAAGAUAAAAACAAGAAUCCAAUGCAAAUUAUUCCGUGGUGCUUGCUAGAUCGUAGUUCUUCAUCAUGUGGCUAUUUUGGAGGGUUAUUCAAAGUGAAGUAACCUCAGGUUUCGUGUUUUUCUUGUUGAUUAAGGUAAUAAUCAGUCCCUCCUUCAUAUAUAUUAGAUUUUAAAGGUGAACUACAAGUGUUUAUACACCAACUUGAACACCAAAAGUUGAUUCAAGAAGAGAUACAACACCUAUAGUGUUAUGGUGUCAUUGAAGAUAGUUGUGGGUUGUGCUUGGCUGAAAUUUCGUGUUUUUUAUACUGGUUAAGGUUAGUAUAACAUCCUACUAUAUUUCCUUGAAGUUUUUUGUGUGUUGGUGGCAUUAUUUGAGCAAAAAACAAGAGAAGACUUGAAAUAGUUUGAGAUGUUAUUGUUAUUAAUGGACUGUUUUUGAAAGGUUGUUUCCAUGAAUUAUAAAUGGUUGGAAACCCUUGAAAAUGACUCUCUUAUGAUGUUGUUAUUAUAAAAUAUUGUCUAUAUAUCGAACAUGUUGUUGGCACUGUGAGUAGGAAGAGAAAGGACAACAUAACAAUGGAAAGUUGUACUUGUGGUUGUUGUUAGAUUGUUGGGUUAUUUGUGGGUGAAUUAGGAGAUGAAUAGGAGGAUAGAAGUCCUCCCAUUGUACUUAAUAUCAUUCUGGCUAUGUUGUUAAGUUAAUGAAUUAAUGAUUUUGGGGUUAAAGGGUUCAAAAGGGAUUCAAUCUGAGCUUGCCGUUUGUGGUGUUAAAUAGUAGUUUCGUUGGUGAUGUUUAUGCACUUGUUAUUGUGUAGCUUGAUUUGUGUUGUGGUGCUGAAAGUAUAUAGGUGAAGGUUGUAUGGGUUUGUGUUGGUUGAUGGACUUGGUAAAGUAAGGAAAACAUGAGAGAUGCUGCCCAUUUUAAUAUAAAAAUAAGCUUGUUGCUCAUUGUACGAUAGUUGCAUCUUUCGUAGCUUAACGAUAGCAUUAUUAUCGUUAUUGUAGAUUGAAGUGCGACGAGAGAAGUUCAACGUGGUUAUCGGACAAAUUGUGAUAAGGUGUUAAGGCACUUCCUUCUUUUUUUUUGGCAUGCUCUAAAGUGAAAUGAACAUAAACGAUACGCUAUUUUAUAAUGGAUCUACUCCUCGGAACUAAGACUGUCCAUGUUGUUAUUUCCUUAUAAAGUUAUUCUAAGCAAGUAUGUAUGAUCCUUGAAUCCUAUUGAGGUUUAGUUUAAUGGUAUGGAUUUCCAUAAUGCUAAUCAAAGGUGCGACGACCCUACGUCACUCCGAAGGGUUUAGAACGUGAUUCCAUGAGUCCAAUAUGUAUUAUAUAUAUAUAUAUAUAUAUAUACAUAUGAAUCUAUUUUACUCUAUCGAGCCGCGCUAUAGUCGGCUGGGUACGAUACCAACUGUGCAACCACUGAUCAUUUGGGUUUUACCGAGCUCCACGUGGCCGGGUACAAUUCUAGCAAGCCUUUUGAUGGCCGGGUAGGUUUUUAUCGAGCCUAUUUUGGCCGGGUACAAUAUGAUGAUGAUGAUCACAGAGGCCUAUGUAUUUAAAAGUUUAUGUGUAUGUGUGUGUGUGUGUGUAUAUAUAUAUAUAUAUAUAUGUAUGUAUCAUGCAUUUCAUGUCAGUAGCCCUUAGAGGCACUCAGAUGUGACGUGUUGUAUCUUCUCUAUCUCUCUUUGUAUUACUGUUCUUAUUUAUGCUUUCCUACCUUACAUACUCGGUACUUUAUUCGUACGGAUGUCCCUUUGCCAGGGGACGCUACGUUUCAUGCCCGCAGGUUCCGAUAGACAGGUUGACAGUCCUCCUAGUAGGCUAUUAGCUCAGCGGAAUGUGUUGGUGCACUCCACUUGCUCCGGAGUUGCCUAUUUGGUCUGUAUGAUUUGGACAUGUAUUGAUUGGUAUGGUGGGGCCCUGUCCCAACCUUUAUGACGUUUAUGUACUCUUAGAGAUUUGUAGACAGAUGUCAUGUAUAUGGAUGAUUGUAUGGCCUUGUUGACCAAUGUUUUGAAUGUACAAAUGAUCAUUUCGAUCUUAUAGGCCCGUAUGUCACAUGUAUAAAUUUGUAUACCAUAUUCGGUCAUCCUAUGUCGAGUACUCUCUUAUGUUUAAUUUUGGUUAUCUUGUGACGGCCUUUUCGGCUCAUUUACCCAUGAUAGUAUGAUAAGAAGGAUACGUUACAUUGGUACUCGUUUGAGUUAGGCACCGGGUCCCCGUCGCGGCCCUUCAAUUUGGUUCGUGACAUACCACACCCAAUCAUGGGUACAACGAAGCAUCCCUCUAAGUUUGUCUAUACUCUUGCACUUCAUACAUAUAUGUGAUGCAGUUAAUGUUGAUAAUUGUAAUUCCUCCAAAAUAGGAGAGUAAAAGAAGCGUUGAAAACCAUACACCUUAUACUCUCCAACCUUCACGAACUAGGCGGACCUGAUUCUUAACCUCGUGUCAAGAUACGUAGGCAACCUAUAAUGGGUCCGAUUUUUCUCGUCCUUAACUGGAUAAAUCGGCCAAGUCUAGCCACUUGGGUCACAGUUGAAUGAAAAUCCUUACGAAAGGAUCAUCUCCAAAAAGUAUCAUCAAAAUUAAACAUAUAUAUACCUUCCUCAGUUUCUUCUCCAUAAGUCUCUUCGUAAGACAUCAAAAUCCAAAAUACUUUCCUCUUUCCUUGAGGAAAUUCAAAAAAAUCGAAAAUAUCUUUCCUCUAUCUCUAAUCUUCCCGAACUACGCCUGACUUGAUUCUCGUUUCGACGAGAUACGUAGGCAACCUGCGGGUUCGAUCAUAUUUUUCAAAAAAAAAAUCAAUCAAAAAGAAAUCAAUCAUUGACCUUUCCCGGGUUCGAUCUAUUUUUCAAAAAUCAAAAAAUCAUCAAUCAAGGACCCUUCCCGGGUUGGAUCUCAUUUUUCAAAAAUCAAAAAAUACUCCGAUCGUGCAGAGAUUUACUUUCUUGUCCUUCCCAUAACCUGGAGAUUUUACUUUUCUGUCUAUUCUCCGAUAUCGCAUCGAAACGGUACUACAGACCAUCAAAUCCUCCCAUUGCAUUGAGACUAAUUCAAAUUUUACUUUCCUGUCCAUGCUCCGAUAUCGCAUUAGAAUAGUACUACAGCCCGUCGAAUCCGCCAAUCGCGUGGAGACUAAUUCAAAUUUUACUUUCCUAUCCAUGCUCUGAUAUCGUAUAGGAACUGUACUAUAGCUCGUCGAAUCCUCCCAUCGCAUAGAGACUGAUUCAAAUUUUGCAUUCCUAUCCAUGCUCCGAUAUCGCAUCAGAGCGUUACUAUAGCCCGCCGAAUCCUCCCAUCGUGUGGAGACAGAUUCAUAUUUUACUUUCCUGUCCAUGCUUUGAUAUCGCAUCAGAACGGUACUACAGCCCAUCGAGUCCUCCCGUUGUAUAGAGACUGAUUCAAAUAUACUUUUCUGUCAAUGCUCCAAUAUCGCUUCGGAACGGUAACCACAAAGCCCAUCUAAAAUUCAAUGCUCCGAUAUCGCUUUGGAAUGGUAACCACAAAGCUCGUCUAACAUUCAAUCUCCGAUAUCGCUUCGGAACGGUAACCAAAAAGCUCGUCUAACUUUCAUGCUCCGGUAUCAUUUCGGAACGGUAAUUACAAAGCAUGUUUUUACAUUAAAUUCUCUUUAUCAAAAAUAUUAAGAAUUGAUUAAUUUAAAGUUUAAAAAAAUGAAAUGAAAUGAAAAUCUAAAAAAUAUUUUCUUUGUAAUCUCCCUGAACUACGCUUGACCUGAUUCUCAUUUAGACGAGAUAUGUAGGUAACAUACGAGUCCGGUCUCAUUUUUUAAAUAAAUUGCAAAAACAUUUUGAUUAACUAAAAAAUUUAAAAAACGGGGAACCAUUCCACGGGUUUGGUCUCAUUUAUCAAAAAAUCAAAAAAAAGAACUAGAGGAAGAAGAGAAGAAAGAAAGAAACAUCAAUAUAUUGACUUGGUGGGUACCAACAUAGUUAUGAGUGUGCAUGGGAAAGAACAAGUAUUUAAGUGAUAUGAUGGAGAGGAUCACUUUCGGGUAAAUCAUAGAUUCUUGUGGUAUCUCUCAAUUAUACCUUAAGUGGUGCUUGAAAAAUCUCAUGCAUACAGUUAGGGUAUGAACAAAGUCAAAAUCAUCGUUUCUUGUGCAUUGUGUGGUGAGCUUUAGAUUAAAAAUUUGAUGGCAUUGCAUUGUAGAUCUAGAACUUUGCCUGAAUAUCUGUUGAGGCAAAAUUCUGAGUAACACAUGGUUUAGGAAAGGAUCGUAGGACUUCUUUGACCCGUUUGAGCCUUUCUAGCCUACCAAAUGACAUCAAUCCCUAACAUUCCCCCUUUGAGCCUUAAGACAUUUUCUUGGACAACCACAUCUUAGCCUGUACCCUUCUUUGUGCUUAAGAGCACUACCCCUCUCUUAGCUCAACCUUCUCGCGCGCACUGAAAAUGUGUAAUUUCGGACAAAGACCAAAGUGGAGGCGACAAGCAUGAAAAGGCAAAAUAUGCAAAGUCCAGGGCAAUCGGAGAUGCGACUUCAAAAAAAAGCAAGAACUCCACUGCAUGCAUUGAACAUCAUUCCCUUCACAUCUCUCUCUCUCUCUCUCUCUCUCUCUCUCUCUCUCUCUUUCUCUCUCUCUCUCUUCUGCUCUAGAUCUCACACCCCUGUUGGCCGGAAAAUGGUUUCCC
rnacentral:lncRNA from 1 species